CCCUCUAAAUCAACCACCUUGCAAUCUCCUAUUGUUAAUCUUUUGAGGCUGGUGAGAUGUUGCAGGCACUCAUCUAGCGUGUGAGUGUCCAACCCCUCAAUGUUGUGUACAUGGAAAGAUUUCAGUUUGGAGAGUGGAAGAGAAGAGGUUGAAGUUGAUGGGGCCUUAGCAUUGAUGUUCAUCUUGAUAGUCUGCUUUAACGGCCUUGAACUGGUAUUCCUCAACUCUAGCUUAUCAUCGAGUGAUGGAUACAGUGGCAUCAAAGUCAAAGGGCAAUUUACAAUCCGUAAAGAGGAAAGACAAGGAAAUGCCAUGAUUGAUGUUCCAAUAACUGUUGUGUCGUCCUCGUUGGAAUCAUCAUCGAUUGGUUUUGUCAUCCUCCACCAACUCUUCAUAUUCGGACAGUCCCAGAGCGAAAGAUGCUUAAGUGAUGGGAAGAAUGAUUGUGGUUCUCCUUGACUUCCUUUUAGGCUAUUAUCAUCCAUGUACUCCAGCUUAGUACAACGCUCAAUCUUCAGCAGUUCAAGACAGGGCAAUUGAGCAAAGGACGGCAAAUAUUUGAAAUUAUCACCGCUUAUGAAAAUUUUGACGAGAUUUGUGAGCAAAGGAAGCCAACUUGGAAACUUGGCCUUGCCCCUCCAUCCUGCAAUACAGAGCUCCUUGAGAUUAGGAUGGGGCUGGAGGUCUUCAAGCGACUUCUCAUCGUCAUCAUCAAAACGAAGGCUCCAUUCUAAAAGCAACGAUCUCAAAUGUUGCUUCUCUUUCAAAUUAGCAGCCUUAAACUUCUCUUUUGCAUUUUUUACGAAUCCCAAAUUUCUUAUUCUUAACUCUCCCCUUAAGUUGCUAAGCAGUCUCAAUUCACUUAGAUCUGCACCGCCAUGGGACCCAUCUUCAUCCACUACAAGCAUGCUUAACGUCUCAAGUGAAGUCAGCUUCCCUAUUCCACGUGGCAUAUGAGUUAAUUCCCAACAAUCUUUACACCUAAGAUGGGUAAGAUUCACCAAUUUUUCAAUCUUCUUCGGCAAUUCUUUAAGCCCAGUACACCAGUCAAGUUUCAGCGCUAGCAAAUUCUGAAUCUUGCAAAUACUCUUUGGGAGAAUCCUAACGGGAUUCUCAGAAAGAUCAAGGUACCUCAAAUGUUUCAACUUACAAAUGGAGGGUGAAAUCUUAUGAAUACCUAUAGAAUUCAAUUUCAAUACACGCAAGCAUCUGCAAUUUGCAAUUAUCAAAUCCCAAGUUUCAUAGCUGAAAUCUUGACUUAAUCCGUAUUGAAAAUGUAACAAGGUUCGCAACUUCUUUCCCUUAAACAAAGGAAUUAACGAAGGAUUAAUUGAUAUGUGGCGACAUUUUUCACCAACAUCACUUGCAAUUUUAUUUGAAUCUACAAUACUACUCUCCAUCCCUGCUACUGAUUCAGCUAGAUCAUGCAUUAAAUCAUGCAUUUUACAUGUCAUAUUCCCAAUUCCAUAUUCUUCUACCUCUUGAAAGAAACUUCUUUCAACUAAAUCUUUAAAAUACCCAAACCCGAUCUCCUCCAGAGAUUGACUUUGAUUCAAUUGCUUUAUGAAACCCUGUGCAAUCCAAAAUUGAACAAGCGCUUGUACUUGAAUUGUGUAAUCUGUUGGAUACAAUCGGCAAUAAGCAAAGCAAUGCUUCAAAUGAGACGGGAGAUGAUCAUAACUCAAUUUCAGUAUAGGUAGAAUUUCUCCUUCAAUUUGUGAAAUUUUAGCAAGUUCAUUUUCUUUGAAAGAAUGCCACUCAUUUGCAGUUUUCUUCAAAGAUAAUGUACCAGCUAUCGUCCUUAUGGCUAAGGGAACCCCACCACACCUUUCCGAAAUCUGUCUCCCCACUUCCACAAAGGCUGAAUUUGUUGAGUCUGCAUAUCCUUGCUCAAAUGCUAUCUUUUUGAACAAAGACCAAGCAUCAUCACCAGACAAGCCUUUCAAUUUCAAAACAUGGGAUUGACAUUUAUUAGUUAUCUCCGCUACCCUUAGAGAUCGAGUAGUUACUAUUAUCCUACUCCCUUUAGCCCCACCCAUCAAUAACUUCUUUAGCCUAGACCACCUUUCUGGGUCCUCAUUCCAAAUGUCAUCCAAAACAAGCAAAUAUUUUUUCCCAUCAAUUUUAUCUCGAAGUUGUUUUUGCAAUUGAUCCAUUUCAAGAUUUUGAUCAGGUGCUUGAUGAGUCACAGAUUUGAUAAUGUUUGCAACAAUAACUUUCACAUCAAAUUCAUCUGAAACACACGCAAACAUCGUUAAGUCAAAAUGAUUUUUGACCAUUUCAUGGUUAUAGACAAGUUGGGCCAAAGCAGUCUUCCCUAACCCUCCAAACCCCACAAUUGGAAUGAUAUAAACAUUCUCUUCACUUUGAAACUCCAACACGAGUUUUAGAAGAGCUGCUUUAUCAUCAUCCCUCCCUAUUAUGUCAUCUUCACGCUCAAAAGAGUGCGUUUGCUGCCUCCUUUUAGUCAUGAAAGAGGUUUCCGCGGGGCGAUCACGUGGAAUGAAGCCAAAAGUGUUGGCCCCACUUUCAAUUGAAGCUAAUCUCGCCUUAAUGGCCUUCAUUUUCCGACCCAUUUUGAGACCAUAAGCAAAUUGGUUUGAGGUUGAGAAGAAAAGGCGUACCUCUUUCGUCAGCUUGUUCCCACCCGACAGAUUUUUCCGCAAAGCUUCAGUAGAGAAAUCAUCGAGCAAGUCGUCGGCAUCAUAAAGUACAUGUUUCAGCUCUUCAAGCCAAACUUUGACGAGAUUGUCGGUCACCGAUUUCUCUUCAGCAUCAAGAAGCAAAGCUUUGAUUUGACAGACAGUGCGUCUGAGGUCGUGGAUGUCAUGUUUGAGAUUCCACCACAGCCCAACUUGAGAGAGAGCACGAGAGCUCAACUUAAUAAUGAGCUCUGCGGCAAUGUCGGAAGCAAUUGCUUCGGCCAUUGUUGGUUCGAACUGAAAUCAAGGCAAAAAGUGUUUGAUUCGUGAGAGAGGAGGACUAAAAUGAGAACAAUCCCAGCAAGAUGAAACACAGAUGUGGAUCCAUCCACCCAGCAAGUAGUAUAAUUAAAUAAAAAGUAAUGUUGAUUGGUGGGAAAUGGUCCCUCCAUGUUUACUGUUUGACACAAAUUUCUGAAUGGAGACAAAGUUGAGAUGAUGACACUAGGGGUGCUCUGCACAACGUACAAAUAAUUGAAAUUAAUGAAAAAGCUAUGAAAGAAAAGAGAAAAAGGAGACAAAUCCCAUGGAAUCCAAGGUGUUUUGAUUGACGCCAAUGCAUUCUGGUCUUUCUAAGGAUGGGUUUGGAUGGGCGAUUGGGUGCGGUGCGGUGCGUUUAACUUACUUUUGGUGUCACGCUACAGUAUCGCUACAGUAUUUAAUCUCACCACCACCUCUGUUUUUACACUAUCCACAGAUAAACGCACCGCCAAUCCAAACUCAUCCUAAACCUUCUUCCCACUUACUUUUGUGUAAUUGAGUGAGUCUCAAUACUCGGUUCUAACUUAAAUUUAAUAUUUUAUUUUUGAGUUUAACUUCGGUUAAAUAUAUAAAAUUAAAAUUAAAAUUCAUUGGCCAUUAGAAUCAAAUAUUAUUAAAUUCGAAUAUGAUUAAAUCAAUAAUUUAAACAUAACUUAUUGACUACUAAAUCAAAUUUAAAUCUUUUUCGAAUCGAAUUUAAUUAACUUACAAAUAUGAUUAUCAUGUCCUCCUUGUGAAAACUAAAGCAGUUGACAGUGCUAGUACAAUCUGCUUCAAAAAUGACAUUAUCGACUUUAAGAAAUUGAGCAAGCCGAAAACCAUCGAUGAGGGCAUCUAAUUCUGCUUUAAUAGUGAUUUUUUAUUCUCAUUUUAUCGGUAUAUUUACAUUUGAAUUCAAAUACAUAUUCUAUAAUUAACUUUAAUCUCACUGUUACAAUACUUAACCUCACUAAAUUACUUGUUUAACAUAAUUAUGGUGAAUUUAUAGAAAGAACAAUCACGAAGCAAAUGUAGAUGCACUUAUGUUUAAAAUGUUAUUAAUGAAAAUUUUAUUAUUUUAAAAAAUAAAAGUAUAAUAACUUUUUUGGCAUUCUAACUUUAUAAAAGAAUUAUUUUAGCUCUCUAUUUAUUUUCCUUCUUUUUUAGUCUUUCAUUUUACAUUUUUUUGUCAAACCAUCCAAAAUGGGUGAAAAAGUUGACGUUAAUUAACUUUGUUGACAUGACAUAUAGGUAGAUUACCACGUGUAUGUCACUUUAGCAAUUAAUUAUUUAAAAAAUAUUAAAAAAAUAUUUUCUUAUAAAUUUUAAAAUAUUUUUUAAAUUUUUUUAAAAUUUUAAAAAAUAUUUUAUUGCUUAUGUGGCAUAUACGUGGCAAUCUGCGUGUAUGUCACAUCAGUAAAAUCAAUGGACGUUAAUUUUUCACUCAUUUUGAAGUGAUUUGACAAAAUUUACAAGUUUAAGAACUAAAAGAAACGAAAAAUUAAAUGGAGAGUUAAAAUGACUUUUUCUAUAAAGUUGGAGACCAAAAGAAUCAUUAUGGCAAAAAAUAGUUGUCUUUCAUCUCUCUCUCUCUCUCUUUUUUGGUUAUUUUUUAGUGUUAAAAUUCAAGAUGGUAUGGAAUAGUUUUUAAUCUUAUUAUUGUUAUAUAUAUAUAUAUAUAUAUAUAUAUAUAUAUAUUUUCGAUCUCAUUAGAGUUAAUCUCACUGUCAAUAUAAAGAGAGCCUAAAUAUAAUUUGUUCAUCUUCUUUUAAACAUGUUAGUGCUCCUUUGUAUGAUCAUUUACCUCCUGUAAGUAGGAUUGAGUAAAUAAAAUAAUUAAAAAUCGAUUCAAAUCAAGGUGUUUAGACGGUUUACAGAAUACAAAUUAAAAAAUCACAAUUAUCCGAAACUAAAUCAAAUUCUAUUUUUUAUUUAAUUUAUAAAUAAAUUUAUUUUUUAUAAUAUAAAAAUAAAUCUUUUAUAUUUAAAAAUAGUGAAAAUAAAUAUAUUUUAAAAAUAUUAUAUAAAAGUAUUUGAUUAUUUUUAUUUACUUAGAAAAAAUUUAAAAAUAUCUUUGAUAUAAACUUUCAAAAUUUUUCAAAUGAUAUUUAAAAACUGUAAAAAAAAAGUUUAUUUCAUGAAAAUAAUUAUAAAAAUUUAUAAUAAAACUUUGAACUAAACUAAAUUAUAAUGGACGGAUUAAAAAAUAGAAUCGAAUUAAACAAAUAUCACUUGAUUUUAUUGCACUAAACUGGACAUAAAAGAUUUUCUUAAAAAAUUUAACCUGCAAUGAGAUUGUUUUUCUCACUAUAACCUUCUAGAGGUGUUAUAUAAGUACAUACCAUUGAUAAUUAUAAAUUUAAUUAUUUAAUUGUUAUAAAAAUUAAAUAUAUUACAAAUUAAUAUUUAUAUAAUGAUAUAUUGAAUACAUGUAAAUUUAUUAUCAUAAAUAUAUUUUUAAUUAUUAUUUAAUAUAAAUAAUUUUAUUAUAUUUUAUUAUUUUCAUUUAUAUAAAAUAUAGAAUUUUAAGUUUAUAAUAAUUUCAAAAAAUAUAUAAUUUUCAUAAUCAAAUUUUAUAUGAAUUAAAUCUAAAUAAGUAGAUAUGUAAUAAUCAAUAAAAAAUUAAUAAAAAUAUAUUUAUUAAUAAAUUUAUUAUUUACCAUGAUUGCAAAUUUAGUAUAUAUUAUAUUAUUUAGUGUUAAAUAUAAUCUUUCAUUUUACAAAUAUAAUUUAACAUCCUUAAUAAUCAAUUUAAGGUGAAAACACCUCUCUAGUCCCUUUCAAUUUUGAUAUCAAGCAAAUUGGUCCUUUUAAAAAAUUUAGAACAAUUUUAUCAUUGUUAAUUUUGAAAUUGAGCAACUAAGGAUAAUUAAUCACAACGUUAAUAUUUUUGUCAUCUAUACAUAAUUUUAUAGGUAUAAUAACAACUUUAGCCCUAAAAUUUUACACAUUUUGUCAAUUUAGUUCUAGUUUAACAAAAUCAAAUUGCAACAUUUACACAUUAUGUACGAACUGAAUUUGUUAUUAUACUAAUCAAAAUUAUAUACGAGAGACAAAAAAAUAUUAACAUUAUUGUUAAUUGUCCUUAGUUCACUUUUGAAAUUGAUAGGGAUUAAAUUGCUCCAUUUUUUUAGAGGGGCCAAUUUGCAAAAUAUUGAAUUUAAGAGGGAUUGAAGAGGUGUUUUUAUCCAUUUUUAACCUCACCUCACUACUACAAUUGUUAUUGAAUCCAAAUAUAUAUCCAACACUGAUUAUUGUCACAUCACUAACGUAUUCAAUCUCACUAUUACAACAACUAAUUUUACCACCAACGUUAUUUUUAAUUUCUUUAGAAUUCAUCCAAUUAUACAUCCAAAGAAAACCAUAAACUUAUCUAAAUAAUUGUUAUAAAAAUUAAAUAUAUUACAAAUUAAUAUUUAUAUAAUGAAUACAUGUAAAUUUAUUAUCAUAAAUAUAUUAUUCAUUGAAUAUUAUUAUACGUGAUUUUAUAUAUUUAUUUUUUAUUCACUGAAUAAUAUAUUUUUAUUUUAUGUAAUUAAUACAAAUAUAAUAUUAUUCAAAUUGUGGUACAUAAUUAAAAUAGUGUAACAAUAAAAAAUUCAAACAUAAAAGUUUGGAAGUAAAUAAUAAUGAAAUAAAAUUUUUAGUGAUUUUAACUACUAAUUUAAUAAAAAAUUAAAACAUACUAUUCUUAUGUAUAAUUUAUAAUUUAAUAUAAAAUAUAAUUUUAAUUAUUUUUAAUAUAAACAUAGUUUUGAUAUUUUUAAUUAUUAUUUAAAAUAUUUUAUUAUAAUAUAUAAAUUAAUAUAUAUAUAAUAUAAAAAUCUAUAAAAGAAUUCCAAAUUUCAAUUAUUAUAAUAUAAAUUUUAUAUCUAAAAAUCCUGAAUUAAAUUAAAUUAAUUCAAUUGAAUUGGACAAACAAAUUCGACCGAAAAUCAUUUGAUAUGAUUGGUUGGAUUACCAAUCUAAUUUUAAAAACCUUGACCAGGACAACAUCAAUAUGUGAAUUUGUUUAAUAUUGUUUAUUUAAUAAGUCUAAAUUUUGAGCAUCUAAAAUGUUAAUAAAAUCUUAUUUCUAAUUAUUUUCAUACAUUGAAUAUGUCAUUUCACUUUGUUAGAACUUGUUUAAAAGAAUAUUGUAUGCUUCAAUGGAAGUCACAAUUUUACGGAAAAAUUUCGUAAAAAUUUCGUUCGAAAAUUUCGACGUUUGGGCACUCAAUUUAGUCAAAAGGACUAAAUUGUAAAAAGUGCCAAAGUUGAGUUCUACAUGUUAGAAGUGUCUAAUUGUUAUGAGAUUAUAAGUUGGGGGUCCUUAUGUGGUAAUUAGACCAUUAGUUAAUUUAUGGACAAAAAUAGACAUAAGAAAUGGGUGAAAUAUAUAUUUUUUAAGUAGGGGCAUUUUAGUCAUUUGGUAAUAAAAAGAAUAAAAUGGGAAAAAGAUGACAAAAAUCAUCAUCUUCUCCAUAAGUUGCUGUCAAAUUUGAAGAGUCACCAUAGCUAGGGUUUCUUCACUUUCUCAAGCUCAUAGUAAGUGCAUCCUAGCCCUGUUUUUAAUGUUCUUCGCAUUUUUGGAAUCCUCGUAGCUCGGUUUAGCUUAUUCUAUCAAUAAUUCAUGUUAGGGUUCAUAUUUGGAAAAAUAUCCAUAGGUGAAAUGUGUUUAUUUUUCUGUUUUAUGGUAGAAUAUGAAGCUAGAAAUUAUGUUAAACAACUUUUGCUAAGUGAUUUUAAGCAAAAACGAGUAAAUCGACAUAAUCGGUAAAAAUAUUUAUUGUUCAUAAGUGUAUGUUAGAGUGAGAAUUUGAUGUUGCCAUAGAAGGGAAAAGUGUUCAGCAUGUUGUAAAACAUAAGAAUAAGGUGUGAAAUUUAAUUUUCGAGCUUGGGGACAAAAAUGUAAUUAUGCAAAAGUUUAGGGGCAAAAUUGUAAUUUUAUAAAAGUUGAGUCGAAGCUUGUUUUAAUAAAUGUGAAUAUUAAACAAGCUCAAUUUUCUGUUAUAGAUCAAGAAAGAUGAGAAAUCAACCUUAAUCGGGGAAAAGAGAAGAUUGAGGAUUAAAUUGCAAAAUCUUUACAUUUUGUAUCGAGGUAAGUUGUAUGUAAUUAAUAUUGUUAUAAUUGUUUUCGUUAUAUUUUGUGACAAUAUACGUGAAAGGGUUGAUAUUAUAAUGUGUUUUGAAUGAGUUGUAAAUAUAUUUGGAAAGUAAGAAUCUUUGUGGAAAUGUCGUAAUGCUAAAGAUUUGAGUAAGGUAUCGAUGAACACGUGUGUAGUAUUGUGUGAAGGCUACUACGUGUAUCGAUAAGUAAUGUUCACAUGGGUAGUACUAAGUGAAGGCUACUAUGUGUACCAAGAAGCUUUGAGCACGUGUGUAGUACUGUGUGAAUGCUACCACGUGUCUCGGUAAACUACGGUCACAUGUGUAGUACUAAGUGAAGGCUACUAUGUGUACCAAGAAGCUUUGAGCACGUGUGUAGUACUGAGUGAAGGCUACUACGUGAGCCGUAAAACUUGAUCACGUGUGUAGUACUAUGUGAAGGCUACUACGUGAAUUGUAAAACUGAUCACGUGUGUAGUACUAUGUGAAGACUACUACGUGUAUCGAAUGAUAAAAAUAAUAUGAGUAGUACUAUGUGAAAAGCUCCGAAUAUUAUUUUAUAUAUACCGUCAUGAUGAUGAAAUUUGAGUAUGUGAUCGGAAUGUAAUAAGUUGUGAAAAUCGAUUGAAGUGAUGAAAUUUGCGUUGUGUUAUAAAAUAAGUGGUUAUAGUGCUAUGUGAAUAAGGAAUGUUGGAAUAGAACAGAUUUGGACAGUGACAGUGAUGUUAGUUUGAAAAAUCACCAAAAACUAUAAAAAUUGAGUUAGAGGUUGAAUAAUAUAUGAGAUUGAAGCUGAAUGAAUCUAUUUUCAUAUGGAAGAAACAAAGCAAGCAAAGGAGUUGUAUGUUUGGAGAUAUUUAAACUUUAUUGAGACAGGGUUGGAUUGAUUUCGAAAUCCCAUGUUUCAACUUUGGAAAAUCACCAAAAAUUGUAAAAAAAUAAUUAUGGCUUGAAAUUUAUAUUCUUGAAUUCCUUAAUGAGUCUAUUUUUAAUAGAAAGAAACAAGAACAUUGUUUAAAUUUUGUACAAAGAGUUAAAUAAAUUUUAGUGAAGAGAGGUCAGAAGUGUCAAAGAGUGAAACAGGGGAACAUUUAGAGAAUAAACUGUACUAAUUGGCUAAAAAAAAAUUCUGAAAAUUUUAUGGUAAGAAUAUAUGUGAGUCUAGUUUCAGAGAAAAUUUACGGAUCUCAAUUCGGAGUUCUGUAUCUCCGGAUAAAAAUAAUUUACCGACUGUGAUGUAGAAAAACAGUUUGUUGGAAGUUGACUAAAUGAUAGAUUUAUGUGUGAUAGAAAUGAUAUAAUAUAUGAUACUAUCUUAGAAAUUUAUUUAUCGAUUACAUACAUACUUACUAAGCUGUAAGCUUACCCCUCUUUAUUUUUCCUUUGUUUUAUAGUGAUAUUAAUCAACUCGGGAAUUGGACGGAGUUAGAACAUCAUCCUCACUAUCAUCACCAACUUUUGGGUAUUUUGCAAUCAAUACUUUUGAAAAAUGGCAUGUAUAGAUGACUUAAUGCAAUGUAGUUUAAACUUAUAUAUAUAUAUAUAUAUAUAUAUAUGUAUAAAAUAUCGUUUGGUUUAAAAUGUCGGUAUCUAUAAUUGAUGAAUUAUUUCCUUAAAUCUUUUGUUCAUAUAGUUUAGGAUGUUAUGGAUGAAUUAAUCAUGUCAGAACAUAUGAUUGUGUUUGGUUGAAAUAUCGAUGUUGCUUGAGAUUGUGUUUCGAAAAUUUGCAGGAGGAAUUGAAUAUUUAUGAAAAGAAACUAUGUCAAAAUUUUUGUAAAAGAAAAAAAAAAUUUGAUCGCUUGAUAACACUUCUCGCCUUGUUUCGACGAUGAAUACGGGUAAGAGGUGUUGCAAUAAACUUAUCUAAAUAAUUGUUAUAAAAAUUAAAUAUAUUACAAAUUAAUAUUUAUAUAAUGAAUACAUGUAAAUUUAUUAUCAUAAAUAUAUUAUUCAUUGAAUAUUAUUAUACGUGAUUUUAUAUAUUUAUUUUUUAUUCACUGAAUAAUAUAUUUUUAUUUUAUGUAAUUAAUACAAAUAUAAUAUAUUCAAAUUGUGGUACAUAAUUAAAAUAGUGUAACAAUAAAAAAUUCAAACAUAAAAGUUUGAAAGUAAAUAAUAAUGAAAUAAAUUUUUUAGUGAUUUUAACUACUAAUUUAAUAAAAAAAUUAAAACAUACUAUUCUUAUGUAUAAUUUAUAAUUUAAUAUAAAAUAUAAUUUUAAUUAUUUUUAAUAUAAACAUAGUUUUGACAUUUUUAAUUAUUAAUUAAAAUAUUUUAUCAUAAUAUAUAAAUUAAUAUAUAUAAUAUAAAAAUCUAUAAAAGAAUUCCAAAUUUCAAUCAUUAUAUUAUAAAUUUUAUAUCUAAAAAUCCUGAAUUAAAUUAAAUUAAUUCAAUUGAAUUGGACAAACAAACUCGACCCAAAAUCAUUUGAUAUGAUUGGUUGGAUUACCAAUCGAUUUUAAAAACCUUGACCAGGACAACAUCAAUAUGUGAAUUUGUUUAAUAUUGUUUAUUUAAUAAGUCUAAAUUUUGAAGCAUCUAAAAUGUUAAUAAAAUCUUAUUUCUAAUUAUUUUCAUACAUUGAAUAUGUCAUUUCACUUUGUUAGAACUUGUUGAAAAGAAUAUUGUAUGCUUCAAUAGAAGUCACAAUUUAUCUUUGAUCAUGAUUGUUCGCAACUGAGCUACUUAGUAAAUUAAAAAUCAGACCUCGACUAUGUACUGUAAGUGCAUUUUCCUACAAACUUUACCCUAUGAUUCAUUAGCCAAAGGUAUUCAUCCCAUCCCCCAAAGUCAUGAGAUAGAUUUGUAAGCUUUGUUUAUGUUAUAGUUAAGGUGGAUGUGUACGCUAGUGUGUGAGUUCUAAAUUAUAUUGUACAAAAAACAACCUAAAAAGAAGACAAAAGAAGACAUUGGAUAUAGGUAUAGCUGUUUUGUAACAACCUAAAAAGGGUCGUAAUUGCUGCAGGGCUCCCGCAUUCUCGUAUCCUCAAUAUUUGAUAAUCGAAUGGAGCUCAGCUAAGCAUUCAACCAAUCAUAAGAUGAAGAUGUGGGAUUCAUUACUCAAUCUAGCAAUGUCUUCAAUUUUGUACAACUCAAUCUUCAAAUUGCUUAAUGGUUCUUGCGUGAAACCCUUCCAUUAAAUGAUAGUAGAUCUACAUAAUGUACUCAAAAUUGCUUGAUAAUUAGUUGUGCUUGUGUUGGAACCUUAUUUGAAACAUCAAAAGAGAAAAAUAUGUUUUGUCUUGAGUGGACACAUAUAUAAAUAAAACUAAAGAACACAACUAAGAUAUUUACGCAGCUUGAAACUUGUCCUACGUUUGCAGCGCCUUGUUCAGAGAUAAAUCCACUAUAUAUUUUCUAGUACAAAGAAAUGAUUUAUGCCCAACUCUCAAACAUUUGGUGUCACCUCACCUUUGUACAAUGAAGUAAACUCUCGCCCAAUUCACUUUAGCUAUACAAUUGAAAAUCAACACUCAAAAGGUGUAUAACAAUGACACUCAAUAAUAAUUCCUCGCUAUGAGCGCAUGUACUCCUUUAAAUCCACACAUCAUCCACUAAACAAAUCAUCUAUAUAUAAGCUCCAAAAUGCACCAAGCUUUACAUAAGCUCCAUGUAAAGUGGAAUAACAAAUUUUCAAAUGCAAUAUCACUGGACCUAUGUAGAAACACUUACUGUUACUAAACGCUACUGUAUAUCAUGUGCAUAAAUGGUGGCUCACAGCAAACCCAUUGUCCAUGCUUUUUCAGUGCGUUCAAAGUUUAUACAUUCUGUCAAUUUAGUUUUGAUUUAAUAAAUUUAGCCUACAAUAUUUACACAUUUUGUCAAUUUGAUUCUAGUUUAACAAAAUUAGAUUGCAACAUUUACACAUUAUGUAUGAGCUCGAUUUGUUAUUAUACCAAUCAAAAUUAUAUACGAGUGAUAAAAAAUAUUAACAUUGUGGUUAAUUGUCCUUAGUUCACUUCCGAAAUUGAUAGGGAUUAACUUACUUAUUUUAUUUUUAGGGGGGCCAAUUUGCAUAAUAAUGAAUUUGAGAGGAACAAAAGGUGUGUUUUUGCCCAUUUUUAUCCUCACCUCACUACUACAAUUGUUAUUGAAUCCAAACAGGUAUCCAACAAUAAUUUCAAUCACAUCACUAUGGUAUUCAAGCUCACUAUUACAACAAUUAAUCUCACCACCGCUGUUAUUUUUAAUUUCACUAGAGUUGAUGGAAUUGUCCAUCCAAUGAAAGUCAUAGACCUAUCUAAACACAAAUACAAAGAUAAAAACUUAUUUAGAUAUAAAUUGAAAAAUAAUUUUUAUUAUUUGACACAAUUAAAAUGUAAUUACUUGCUUGAUUGAUACAUUUGCUCAAAGGUAAUGUAGCCCCUUCCAUUUUAUUAUUUGCUUAAUUUUUUUUGUAUGUGAUAUUUUGAUCUGUUCAUAAAUGGAAUGUUUCAUGGUGGCUAAGUUUCUUAGGGGAUAAAUUAUGAGUAGCAUUAUUUGUUUGUGCAGUGAAAUUGUGAUGUCUAUAUUUUAAUCUAUUUCUGUAUUUGAUGAUGUAGUGGAGUUUUAAUAUAAUUGUAAUUGAUGGUUUGUUAGUUUUAUGUACCAUAAAUGCUAUAGUAAGAGAGUUUAAAGCCGAACAUUUAAUGUCGUGCUCUAUAUGAAGAAAGGUUGAUGAGUGUUAGUUCUUUUGAUGUUUUGCCUUUGAUGGAUGUUUGAAAAAUGAUUCAGUUGAUAUCCAUAAUGUCUACCACUAUAGUUUCCCCCUUAUGUAGAAUAUGACUGCUAGUAUGUCAGGCAAUAUUAUGUUCGUAUAUUAUGUUCUUUUUCUUAUUGUCUUCAACACGAUAACAAGUGAAUUACUAGUUACUUUACUUGAUUUUGUCAUGCCAUUUUUCUCUUUGAGUUUUGGCCUUUCUGAAUUAACUUUUGAAUCACGUAGUGAAGCAUUUCUGAUGGUUCUUAUGACUAACAGUAAGUUCUCUUAUACAAGCUCCCCUACAUAUGCAUUUCUUAAACUUAUGCUCUUUUCUUCAUUUCAGUUGGUUGUUAAUCUUGAUAUAACCAUGCACAAAUACUAAUACUAAGGGACCUUGUAAUUUUGCCUGCCAUUGGAACUACUCUGAAAUAUUGCUGAUUUUUCUCAGCAAUUAAAGAGGAAGAGCGCAGCAGACAAAAAUGAAGUUUUGUCUAGCCAACAUAAUACAAGAUGUGCUAUUCAACUUGUAGUUUGAUGUGUGCCAACAUAAGCAUCAACACACAAGUCAUACGUAUAUACAGCCAGGAAACCAACAUCUUUUGGAAGAGUCCUAAUCCAAGCAUCAUAAUUGAACAUAGUCUUGGAAUACUGUCUAAAAAAAUGGUUGUCUCAUAAUCAAUUGUGCAUCCCUGCAUUUGAAUGCUGUUUCAAACACUAAAAAAACAUAAAUGUGUUUUUUUCUGAGUUGACACUUAUUAUGCAACAAGGAAAACAAAGAGCACAAUUAAGAUGUUUACACAGUUCAAAACUAGUCCUACAUCUGCGGGGCCUUACCCAAAGAUGAAAACACUAUGAACUUCAUAGUACAAAGAAAUGAUUUAAGCCUAACCUCUCUAACACUUGAUGCAAUCUCAACUUCAACCUCACCACCAAAUAUUCCGAAGCAUCUUCCUUUUUUUCCUGUUUGGACCUUCAAUAACAAAUUUGGCUGGAACUCCAAACAGCUAAAAGAGUGCCCUGCAUCAAUAAAUAUUAUGAAUUUGAAUACCUCCAAAAGCCAGUUACCAUCUAAGAUAGUAAUCAGUUGGCAUAUAUUAAGAGAAAACAUAAAUACAUAUAAAGAUAUGAUAUGUAAGUACUUAAAUGAAGAAAGCAGAGCAUAUAGUACAACCAUUUUGCAGGCUUCAUAGGCCUCUCUCUCCACAUCAAUGAUUUUUUAGAAUUAAAUUAUUAGAAGCAAUCGUCAAGUUAUUAUUAUGAUUUAAAAGUAAAAAGAAAGUAGAUAAAUUAGCACCUCUUUUUAUGCAUAUAAAAUGAUUGAAGUUCACUAAUGCCUUUCUCCAAUGCCUUACUGCACAAAUCAGCAAAAAAUAUUAUGAAAGAUGAUAAGUAAAAAGUAGGAUGAAAACAAAGGGAUUUUAACAAGGAAAUUAACAGUAUCCAACUUCAAUGAAAAAUGGCAUCAGACCCCUCACUUGGAGAUUCAAUAUACCACUCUUAUUUUUCUUCAAAAAAAGAUAAGGUCAUCAUAAUAAAUAAAUAACAAAGACAGACCAACCUGAUACAUCCGAAUGUUGGGGAUGUGAGCAAUCUUUUGCCAAUCAGCGCCAAUGUCCUUCCGAUAUCUUUCCUCCAACUGAGGAAUUUCUCGUAUUUGUAAAUACUCCAAACCGGUUAGGCAACGCAUCUCGUCCGGAAGAGAUGUUAAAUUGGGCAAAUUGACGAGAUAAAGCUCUUGCAGAUUUGUUAGAUGUUGAAGCCACUCCGGAAGAUGCCGACACUUUGGAAUAUUUAGCAGCCGUAGAGAGCGUAGACUUGUAUGAUCUUGGAAUAUUUGGAUGCCAGCUCCAGAUAACUCCAGCUCCUUGCAGUCCUUUACUUCAAACUCUUCAAGGAAAGUGAGAUGUUGGAACACAGGAAAGAGUGACCUCAAUCCAUGGCAUUCACGAAUUUCUAAUGUUUUCAAUUGAACAAGAUGUUGAAGAGAAAUGAGGAGAGACACCAGCUUUGGAAUAUUAUCAAUCUUCAAUUGAGAGAGAUUCUUAAGGGGUUCCCAUUGCAUGCCCUCUAAAUCAACCUCCUUGCAAUCUCUUAUUGUUAAUCUUUUGAGGCUGGUGAGAUGUUCAAACACAGGAAGCAGUGACCUCAAUCGAUUGCAGUUCUGAAUUUUUAAUGUUUCCAAUUGAACAAGAUGUUGAAGAGAAAUGGGGAGAGACACCAGCUUUGGAAUAUUAUCAAUCUUCAAAUGAGAGAGAUUCUUAAGUGGUUCCCAUUGCAUGCCCUCUAAAUCAACCUCCUUGCAAUCUCUUAUUGUUAAUCUUUUGAGGCUGGUGAGAUGUUGCAGGCACUCAUCUAGCAUGUGAGUGUCCAGCCCCUCAAUGUUGUGUACAUGGAAAGAUUUCAAUUUGGAGAGUGGAAGAGAAGAGGUUGAAGUUGAUGGGGCCUUAGCAUUGAUGUUCAUCUUGAUAGUCUGCUUUAACGAC
rnacentral:lncRNA from 1 species